GCACAGCAAGUGGUGGUUGUGACGAUCUUUUGUGUCAUUUUCCCAUAAGGUCAAUAACCUUAUCUGAUUAUACAACUGGAACCCAGACUGGUCUCUCACCUGCAGCAGACAGAAUCCAGGCUGAGUCUCUUUCCAGCCUGUUACAGGAUCAAUGCACUGAGCCUCUAGGAAACUUGAGAAAAGAUGCACGGAAAGAGGAAAAAUCUGAUCUGGAGUCCACAAGGUUUGGGAGCGGGAGGGGACUGAACAGGAAACCAGAUGUAAAACUCAGAGACCUGAGAGCUCCAUUAUUCUUGGAUUCCUUUGAUGAUUCCAACUCUCAGAGUAAGGAGGAGCCUAAACAAGGAGAGAGGCCAGCAAUCCAAGAUGUUUCUGUGGGGAGAUCAGAGGAAAGGUCUCUGAAGUUGUAUCAGCAAGGGCUUGUGUCCAGGUGUUUGAGGGCAUGGUCCAGUAUUGUGAAGUGGCGUUACCUUGCAGCCGAGUCUUUGCAAGAACAGCAGCUGCUGUGGAAAGGGCUACAGGCACUGCGCUGGGCCGUGGAACUCCGGCGAAAGCAGGCAGAGCUUUUGGAGAGAAGGCAGCAAGCACGACUCCUAGCUUAUUACUUC